CAGGAACUAGAUGGCGACCAAAGGAUUCUGAUCUUUUUGUCCAUCAAGCAGCUAUGGAAGAUUAAUAGCUAAACAUAUCAUUUCAAAUUAACUUAGAAGGAUUGAUCCCUAAUCAUUAUUUAGCACCGUUUUUUGAAUAUGAGCCAGCAAAUUUAGCGAAUUUCACACAAAACAAUAUGGCGGAUAUAGAAAAUAAAUGUCGAAUUUUUGAUGGCUCUA